CAUGUAGGCGGUUUUUUAAGUCUGGAGUGAAAAUGCGGGGCUCAACCCCGUAUGGCUCUGGAUACUGGAAGACUUGAGUGCAGGAGAGGAAAGGGGAAUUCCCAGUGUAGCGGUGAAAUGCGUAGAUAUUGGGAGGAACACCAGUGGCGAAGGCGCCUUUCUGGACUGUGUCUGACGCUGAGAUGCGAAAGCUAGGGUAGCGAACG
rnacentral:rRNA from 1 species